GGCCUAACACAUGCAAGUCGAGGGGUAACAAGUCUAGCUUGCUAGAUGUUGACGACCGGCGCACGGGUGCGCAACGCGUAUACAAUCUGCCCCCUACUGUGGGAUAGCCCAGAGAAAUUUGGAUUAAUACCACAUGGUACCAUAUUGCGGCAUCGUAUUUAUGGUUAAAGGUUACGGUAGGGGAUGAGUAUGCGUCCCAUUAGUUAGUUGGCGAGGUAACGGCUCACCAAGACCGCGAUGGGUAGGGGCCCUGAGAGGGGGAUCCCCCACACUGGUACUGAGACACGGACCAGACUCCUACGGGAGGCAGCAGUGAGGAAUAUUGGACAAUGGGCGGGAGCCUGAUCCAGCCAUGCCGCGUGCAGGAAGAAUGCCCUAUGGGUAGUAAACUGCUUUUAUACGGGAAGAAAAAGGGCUACGUGUAGCCCACUGACGGUACCGUAAGAAUAAGGACCGGCUAACUCCGUGCCAGCAGCCGCGGUAAUACGGAGGGUCCGAGCGUUAUCCGGAAUUAUUGGGUUUAAAGGGUCCGUAGGCGGGCCGAUAAGUCAGGGGUGAAAGUCUGCCGCUCAACGGUAGAAUUGCCUUUGAUACUGUCGGUCUUGAGUUAUGGUGAAGUUGGCGGAAUAUGUAGUGUAGCGGUGAAAUGCAUAGAUAUUACAUAGAACACCGAUUGCGAAGGCAGCUGACUAACCAUCGACUGACGCUGAUGGACGAAAGCGUGGGGAGCGAACAGGAUUAGAUACCCUGGUAGUCCACGCCGUAAACGAUGGAUACUAGCUGUCCGGGUCCUUGAGACCUGGGCGGCCAAGCGAAAGUGAUAAGUAUCCCACCUGGGGAGUACGUUCGCAAGAAUGAAACUCAAAGGAAUUGACGGGGGCCCGCACAAGCGGUGGAGCA
rnacentral:rRNA from 1 species